rnacentral:rRNA from 1 species
UCCGUAGGUGAACCUGCGGAAGGAUCAUUACCGAGUUAGGGUCCCCUGGGCUCGACCUCCAACCCUUUGUCUACCUUACCUUACGUUGCUUCGGCGGGUCCGUCCCGAAAAGGACCGCCGGAGGGUGGUUUCACCCUCUGGUCCGCGCCCGCCGAUGGCCACCAACUAAACUCUUGUUAAAAAACGUGUCGUCUGAAGUAAUAAAUUAAUAACUAAAAACUUUCAACAACGGAUCCCUUGGUUCUGGCAUCGAUGAAGAACGCAGCGAAAUGCGAUAAGUAAUGCGAAUUGCAGAAUCCGUGAGUCAUCGAAUCUUUGAACGCAUAUUGCGCCCUUUGGCAUUCCGAAGGGCAUGCCUGUUCGAGCGUCAUUAUCACCCCUCAAGCCCCGGCUUGGUGUUGGGCUCUCGGCGGUCGCAUCUGACCACCCGCCUUAAAGAUAGUGACGGCGUCCCAGAGGGAACCGGUACGAGGAGCUUUCACGAGCAUGUACGCGGGACGACUCUGCGGGCGACGGUCUUUUUUUACUUCAUAUAAGUGUUGACCUCGGAUCAGGUAGGAAUACCCGCUGAACUUAAGCAUAUCAAUAAGCGGAGGA